AACGAACGCUGGCGGCAGGCUUAACACAUGCAAGUCGAACGCCCCGCGAGGGGGGUGGCCGACGGGUGGGUAACGCGUGGGCACAUACCCUUUCCUGCGGAAUAGCUCCGGGAAACUGGGAUUAAUACCGCAUACGCCCUACGGGGGAAAGAUUUAUCGGGGAAGGAUUGGCCCGCGUUGGAUUAGCUAGUUGGAGGGGUAAAGGCCUACCAAGGCGACGAUACAUAGCUGGUCUGAGAGGAUGAUCAGCCACAUUGGGACUGGGACACGGCCCAAACUCCUACGGGAGGCAGCAGUGGGGAAUAUUGGACAAUGGGCGGAAGUCUGAACAAGCCAUGCCGCGUGAGUGGUGAAGGCCUUAGGGUUGUAAAGCUCUUUCACCGAUGAAGAUAAUGACGGUAGUCGGAGAAGAAGCCCCGGCUAACUUCGUG
rnacentral:rRNA from 1 species